GUGAUAUUGAAAAAGUCUCAUGAGAUCUGAUGGGUUUAUCAGGGGUUUCCACUUUUGCUUCUUCCUCAUUUUCUCUUGCUGCCACAGUGUAAGAAGCUCCUUUCACCUUUGACCUCCCGCCAUGAUUCUGAGCCCUCCCGAGCCAUGCAGAACUUUUGCAGAUAUAUUGUUCAGUCAAGGUCCUUCCUUGAAUGAUUCAGAAUGUAGCAUCUUCCUCCAAAUCCAUCUGAAUAUAGCAGCAAGAAGAUCCUCGCCAGAUACGUGGGCCUCUUGAACUUGGACUUCCCAGCCUGCAGAAUGGGCCCGUUACUGUCAGAUUCCGGCAGUUGACCCUGGUGAUUUCACAGCAGCAAGCACUGCAGGCGUUCCCAACACACAAGGCAAACUCUGUAUAUGGGCUCACCACCCACAGAUCCAGCUGUCUGUCAUGUCGUUCCCAUAUUGAAGGAACAUAACCUGUUAUUAAGCCAAUUCAGCCCUGGAAGAAGGAACAAGUUUCCAAAAUGCAAUCUUUGAGUUUGGAAAAUGGCAUUUGAGAGAAGACACUCCCAACUUCUUCUGCAUCUGGAUUUCCUGAGUCAGAAGGUAUCUUCCAGGGAUCUGAAGUGUAGAAAGAUGGAAAUCACAAGACUAUGGAGACUUGCAAACAUUCACCAGCAGUACCUUCAGAGCAAUCAACACAGCAGAAGGUUCCUAGGCAAAGGCUGAAGUAGAACCCUGCAUUCUCUCCCAGCCCUUCUCAUCAACCUCCCAUUGCAUCUUACCAAGAGGAGCCCCAUGUGCCUAUGUUGAGCCUCUCCCUAUAUACUGCCUCCGCUACAAACAGAUACAACUUUGGCCCUCCUCUAACCAAGAAAGAAUUGAAAACAUUUCACUAGCCUACUCUUGGGGAAAGAGACAGUGGGGAAGAAGCCCAUGUAUGCUCUAGAACUGGAACUGGGUAAUUAUCCAUCUAAUUAGGAAUUUCCAAGGUCCCAUGCAUCUGGAACAUGAUGUAUAGGUGGGGCUAGCUCUAAUGGGGACAUCUCCUUAGCCUCAUGGAUUUCACAUCCCAUGGAGAAGGACAUUGCCACAGUGGGGGUCAUAGUAGAGAAUUUAAAACUCAAGUGCUACGUUUAAAGGCCAUACUACUCAUGCUGCAAGAAAGAAAAAAUAACUUGUGUGUAUGUGUGUGUGUUAAGUAGCAAUAACUGCUUUAAAAUAAAAAUAGUAAUCCAAAAGUGGUAGGUAAUUCAUCAUUUUUGGCACAAGACUUUCCUAAAAACAGACCCUGAGACAAAAAUUUUGGGCAAAUAACUGAUUAAAUGAUUGCACUUAGGAGAAAUUGGUAAAGAAGCAGAAGAAGAAAGAAAGAGACCAACAAUAAUGUGACUUUAGGUGAAAUCGUGCUCUUUGCCUAGUUGUAUAGGGAGCUCUGGAGCAUAAAUUCCAUCAUAGAUUUUGUUGUGCCUUGUGGCAGGGAGCUGGGAUUUCAUGACCCUUCACCAGUUAGCUUUUGGCAAUGGGCUAUCCUAGAGCCUAGCAGACACAUACACCUCUUUAGGAAAAACUGCCAUAGUAGUCCCAGCAUAAUUUCUUUUAGAAUCUCCAUAAAAGCUAGAAAAUGGGCCUGUGAAGGAAGCCUGGAGAUCUGGGAGGAGCAUAGAACACAGCUCUAUAGAAGUGAAGCCAGGAUGCAGUUGACAAAUGAGAUUACAGUAAAAAGAUGAGGUUCAGAUGAGAUUUAAAUGACUGUGUCCAUCCUCAUCACCAUUGUCAUCAUUAUUGUCAUCAGACUUGGUGGAAGCAAAUGAAGAAUUCUGAAAAAUAUAAUUAUUUAACCUUUUGACUUUUUUUUUUUUUUUGAGACAGAGUCUCACUCUGUCACCCAGUCUAAAGUACAGUGGCACAGUCUCAGCUCACUGCAACCUCUGCCUCCCAGGUUCAAGCAAUUCUUCUGCCUCAGCCUCCCGAGUAGCUGGAACUACAGGAGUGCAUCACCACGCCUGGCAAAUUUUUGUAUUUUUAGUAGAGACGGGAUGUCACCAUAUUGGCCAGGCUGGUCUGGAACUCCUGAACUCAUGAUCUGCCCUCUUCGGUCUCUCAAAGUUCUGGGAUUACAGGCGUGAGCCACCAUGCCCAGCUUGACUCUUUUAUAAUAACACUUAGCUUAAAACAGAAACACAUUGCAGAGCUGUACAAAAAUAUUUUCUUUCAUUAUAUUCUUAUUCUAUAAGCCUUUAUCUAUUUUGUUAUUUUAACUUUUUAAGCUUUUUUUUGUUAAAAACUAAGAUACAAACACACAUAUUAGCCGAGGCUUACACAGUAUCAGGAUCCUCAAUAUUACUAUCUUCAACUUCCACAUCUUCUCCCACUAGAAGUUCUUCAGGGGCAAUAACAGGCAUGGAACUGUCAUCUCCUAUGAUAGCAAUGCCUUCUUCUGGAAUACCUCCUGAAGGACCUGCCUCAGGCUGUUUCAUAGUUCAUUUAUAUUUUAAUAAGUAGAAGGAGCACACUCUAAAUUAACGAUAAAAACACAGCAUAGUAAAUAUUAGGCGAUGGGAAUUUUUUAGCUCCAUUGUAGUCUUAUGGGACCACCAUUCUAUAUGCCAUCCAUCAUUGACCAGAAUGGUGUUACGCAGCUUAUGGCUGUAUUUUCUAUGGCCCUUUACUUUUUAGAUAUAUUUAGUCAAAAAAGAAAAGCAGCAGAUAGGAGAGAAGUUUAUACAAAACAUAACACCAAUUGUAGAAUCUUCAAUGACAGUUUAAAAUGCCUUAGCAAGGUGAAAACAAUAUAAUAAACACAGUAUCUUCUGAACUAAUAAAAUUGGAACUGAGAAAGCAAAUUAAUGCACAGUAAUGAAAUUAAAAUGGGGCAUACUUAAACUUAAAAAUAGACUCUGCUCUUUUAGUACUAAAAACAAUACUUAUUUAUAAUUACUGCCUAAUUCAUGUGUCACCAAUUUUAAGGCCAUUUUUAAUGUAUUUCUAUCCUUACGGGAUAUACACUUUUUUGGCGUCUAUGGUCACUAAGUCCAGAUCCUCCAAAGUCCAUUCAAAAGAAAUGAAGAUUCCUUUGUUUAAAUUCUAUUUUUAGUUUAGAUUCAGGGAGUACAUGUGCUUGUUUGUUAUAUGAGAGUAUUACAUGUGUAAUAGUGGAGGCUGGGUUUCUAGUGUACUCAUCACCCAGAUAUUGGACAUUGUACCCAGAGGUGAUUUUUCAACUCCCCUACCCUACACCCUUUAGAGUCCUGAGAGUCUAUUUUCCUUAUCUUUAUGUCCAUAUGUACCCUUUGUUUAGUUCCACUUAUAAGUGAGAAUAUGUGAUAUUUGAUUUUCUGCUUCUGUAUUAGUUUACUUAUAAUAAUGGCCCCCUGCUCCACCCAUGUUUCUGAAAAGGAUAUGAUUUUAUUCUUUUUUAUGGCUGCGUAGUGUUCCAUCAUGUAUAUAUAACAUAUUUUCUUUAUCCAAUCAACUUUUUGCAGACACUUAGGUUGGUUCCAUGAGUUUGCUAUUGUGAAUAGUGUAAUAACAUAUGAAUGCCGGUAUCUUUUUAAUAUAACACCUUUUUUUUUUUUUACCUUUGGAUAGAUACCCAGUAAUGAAAUUACUGGGUCAAAUGUAUUAGUUCUAUUUUUAGCUCUCAGAAAUAUCUCCAUACUGUUUUCCAUAGAGUUUGAUCUAAGUUAUAUUCCCACUGACAGUGUAUGAUUGCUCUCUCUUCUCCACAUCCAUGUCAACAUCUUGUUUUUUGACUUUUUAAUAAAAACCAUUCUGACUGGUGUAAGAUGGUAUCUCAGUGUGGUUUU
rnacentral:lncRNA from 10 species